UGGGGGAUAUUGCGCAAUGGGGGAAACCCUGACGCAGCAACGCCGCGUGAAGGAAGAAGGUCUUCGGAUUGUAAACUUUUGUCUUUGGUGAAGAUAAUGACGGUAGCCAAGGAGGAAGCCACGGCUAACUACGUGCCAGCAGCCGCGGUAAUACGUAGGUGGCAAGCGUUGUCCGGAAUUACUGGGUGUAAAGGGUGCGUAGGCGGACUUGAAAGUCAGGUGUGAAAACUAUGGGCUUAACCCAUAGCCUGCAUUUGAAACUUCGAGUCUUGAGUGAUGGAGAGGUAAGUGGAAUUCCUAGUGUAGCGGUGAAAUGCGUAGAUAUUAGGAGGAACACCAGUGGCGAAGGCGACUUACUGGACAUUAACUGACGCUGAGGCACGAAAGCAUGGGGAGCAAACA
rnacentral:rRNA from 1 species